GUGUUAUGAUCUCUCUCUCUCUCUCUCUCUCUCUCUCUCUCUCUCUCUCUCUCUUUUACUGGAGACUCCAGAAACCUGACUCUUUAUAAGAUGUAUUCUUUUUUAAAUAGAUAUAGGGAGAGAGAGAAAGAGAGAGAGAGAGAGGCUUUUUAAUAUU
rnacentral:miRNA from 1 species